rnacentral:rRNA from 1 species
AGGCAGCAGUGGGGAAUAUUGGACAAUGGGCGAAAGCCUGAUCCAGCCAUGCCGCGUGAGUGAUGAAGGCCUUAGGGUUGUAAAGCUCUUUCAGUGGGGACGAUAAUGACGGUACCCACAGAAGAAGCCCCGGCUAACUUC